ACAUCAUCUUCAUUGACUAUUGAGGAACAGAAAGUUAAAUAUAAAGCUAGCGUCUUGUCAUUCAUUCGUGGAAAUGAAAUGAAAGGAACAAUUCGGCAAGAAGAGGAUCAAAAAUUGUUCUCAUGAGAAUGCCGAUUGUGACAAAACACGUCCUUCAUAUUAUGAGCUGCAUUCAAAAUAAGUUCCCAACUCUUACUGCCUUAAUCACGAG
rnacentral:lncRNA from 1 species